rnacentral:lncRNA from 1 species
UCCACACCUCCCAGUCUCCGCGUGUCCUCUCUUCUCCUUGGAUCACUUGUGGAUUUUUUAUUUCUUCAUGUAACUGCCAAAUUUCACUGUCUACCUUCUGAAUUAGUAUUGUUAGAGGGAUACACGUACAGAAUUGUAAUAAAUUCCUGGUAAGUUGUUCCUUUUUUGUCAUUGAAUAAAACCUUCAUUUUUCUAAGAACAUUUUUGCCUA